rnacentral:rRNA from 1 species
UUGAACGCUGGCGGCAGGCCUAACACAUGCAAGUCGCGCGGAUGAAGGGAGCUUGCUCCUGGAUUCAGCGGCGGACGGGUGAGUAAUGCCUAGGAAUCUGCCUGGUAGUGGGGGAUAACGUCCGGAAACGGGCGCUAAUACCGCAUACGUCCUGAGGGAGAAAGUGGGGGAUCUUCGGACCUCACGCUAUCAGAUGAGCCUAGGUCGGAUUAGCUGGUUGGUGGGGUAAAGGCCUACCAAGGCGACGAUCCGUAACUGGUCUGAGAGGAUGAUCAGUCACACUGGAACUGAGACACGGUCCAGACUCCUACGGGAGGCAGCAGUGGGGAAUAUUGGACAAUGGGCGAAAGCCUGAUCCAGCCAUGCCGCGUGUGUGAAGAAGGUCUUCGGAUUGUAAAGCACUUUAAGUUGGGAGGAAGGGCAGUAAGUUAAUACCUUGCUGUUCUGACGUUACCAACAGAAUAAGCACCGGCUAACUUCGUG